rnacentral:lncRNA from 1 species
AACAGGUGUUCCUAAAAACCUUGUAACUAGCAUCCUAUUUACUGCAAACGUAUGGGAUAAUGUUCCUUAUACAAAUAUGUACCGUAGCAGGAUAAACUGUAUUUCCAAUGAUGCACCAGCAAGAAGAAUCUACAAAUCAACCUCAAAGUGUCAAGAAUUUGGGGAGCACGUGUCUGAUGGAUUCUCUUAGCUGCAGUGGAGACCUCAGCAGACUUAGUGACCGUUAUCUGCCUCAGGAAGUAGACAAACCUAUGAGAUGCUGACUGCUCCGUUUCUGUGUUUCAGCAUUUGUCAGAAAUAGCAUCUCAUCUAGGAUCCGCACCUGGGGAAGAUUUGACAAGCAACAAACAAAUUUACCACCCUUUGGGUCCUCAGGGGUGGACGGCAGCCAGUAUCGCUGAUGGGAGCACAGCUUAAAGCCGUGUCGUCAGCCACAAUCCUACACGUCUGUGACUUCUGAAUUUUCCAUACUUCCUAUGAAGGUAGCACCUUGGAAAAAGACUUCUUCCCCCCAGUGGUGGAGGGGCAUUUGUCAUUUACAAGUACUGUGGUCAUAAUAUAAGUGUCCUCAAGAUUUUUUAAAUAGUGCUUCAGGAUCCUCUAAAGUCAUGUUUCGUAGUGUUUAAAAAUGGUCUGUGAUGGGGCGCCUGGGUGGCACAGCGGUUAAGCAUCUGCCUUCGGCUCAGGGUGUGAUCCCGGCGAUCUGGGAUCGAGCCCCACAUCAGGCUCCUCUGCUGUGAGCCUGCUUCUUCCUCUCCCACUCCCCCUGCUUGUGUUUCCUCUCUCGCUAGCUGUCUCUCUCUGUCAAAUAAAUAAAUAAAAU